rnacentral:lncRNA from 1 species
AUGACUCCUUGUUAGUCAUGAUGAAUUUUCUGGCCCGCUCCAGUCUGCUGUCUGGAUUCAGAUGCUCAGAGGCCCCAAAAUGCUCCCUCUGAGCGUUGAUUUGGCUGCCCUCUCAAGCCUACGACCGCCGGCAAAACCAGCGAUAGAGCGAGGGGUGAGAGGUGGGGACGCGAUCCAGGUUCCCUGGGGUCUGUCAUUCCCUUCCCGGCAGUAACUGUUGAUUCGCUUUACAGCGCCCAUGUACACACCCGGCCCUGCGUGGCGGUCACGCCGCUCCAGCCUGGGUCCGCGCCCAAGUUCUAGCUACCGGGCUUGCAGGCUCGGAAACUCGCAGGCGGCACCUGCUCUGGGCGGCUAAAGAACUGAUGGCGCGACGCGCCCGCGCUCCGUAGAGCGGCGCUGCGGGUGCAUGGUCCCAUAGUCUUGCUCUGGAGUUCACUGCUGAAAGCUGAGCUGGGAGCUUGGCCAGGGAGCGCCAAAGACAUAGACUAACCCCACCCGCUAGCGCCCACCGAAGUUACUGAUUAGGAAGGUUCCCCUGGCAUCAGCCCAUUUGCUUCACACACUCUUCCUCCUUCCCAAGGGGCUAACGGAAAAGUUGCACCUACCAGCGGUAGGAGCACGGGGAAUCGCGCACGCAGGCCCUCCGCGCGGCUUCCCGGAGCGGCCUUUGGCGACUGCGCCGCCCCUACAAGGCCGCACACCCCUCGCCAGCACUCCGGCAGCCUCGCACAAGACGGAGCCCACGCAGGCUUCUAGUUUUCUAAACCAAAAACUGCACGCGCCGGCGUGUGAAUCUGACGGAGAGACUUUUAGAGUUUUGUUUGGUUUUCAGUUCAGACCGCUACGCUGUCAGAGCAAGCAACUCCGAGCCUUGAUGGGAAUGACUUACAAGCCGCGGUGCGGGCUGAGCCUGCCUCUCUCGGGGUUCUUUCCCCAAGGGAGUGGGAGACAAUUGGGCCUGGAACCUAAAAGGAAGAGAGCCUGUGCUAGCCGCGGGGUAGAGGGGAAGGAGAAGAGCUUUGGGCCGAAGUGUCCGCACACCCUGGAGCAAGAGACACUUGUGCACUGAAAUUCUAACCGUGGGAUGCAAGGAGAGUUGAACAGGGGAACAGGUCUGGCUCUUGGCUCUAGGUUUAAGAGAUACACACUGUGUGUGUGUCCCUAGGUGAAUAAAAAUCCGACUCCCGCUG